rnacentral:lncRNA from 1 species
AAUUAGUCUUCAUUUUAACUUUGGAUGAGCUUGGAUCUAAGCUUCUGAUUGCCUUCAUUUUGGCUUCGAAUUGGUCUGGAUCCGGACUUCUAAUUGCCUUCAUUUUGACUUCAGAUUGGCCUAGUUUUGGGUUUCGGAUUGACAUGAAUCUGACUUUGGAUUGGCCUGGAUCUGGGCUUUGGAUUACCUUCAUUUUGACUUCGGAUUGGCCUAG